GGCGGCUGGGCGGCCAUGAGGGCCUCCUGGCGCAGCGCUGCUGCCGUCGCCUGGGGCGGGGGGGCCUGUUCGGCCCCGCUCCGGGCCCCGCUCCGGGCCCCGCUGCCUCCCGUUCCGCGGAGAGGUUUGGCUGCCACAGCAGUUAGGAAGACAUACGAUGUCAGAAAAGUUGAAAUCACACCCCUGGAGCAGAGGAAGGUAACUUUUGAUACCCAUGCUUUAGUGCAGGAUCUGGAAGCCCAUGGCUUUGGGAAGGAGCAAGCAGAGACCAUUGUGUCAGCAUUGAUAACCUUGUCGAAUGUCAGCCUAGACACAGUCUAUAAGGACAUGGUUACACAGGCUCAGCAGGAAAUAACUUUGCAGCAGAUAAUGGCACAUUUGGACUCCAUCCGAAAAGACAUGGUCAUCCUGGAGAAAAGUGAAUUUGCAAACUUGAGAGCAGAAAAUGAGAAAAUGAAAAUUGAAUUAGAUCAGGUUAAACAGCAGCUAAUGAAUGAAACCGGUAAAAUCCGAGCUGACAGCAAGCUGGACAUAAACCUGGAAAGGAGCAGAGUGACAGAUAUGUUUACAGAUCAGGAGAGGAAACUGAUGGAAGCAACUACAGAGUUUCAUAAAAAAGAUUCAAGCACCAACAGUGUUAUCUCGGAGAUCAGUAACAAAAUUGACACUGAAAUAGCUUCCUUAAAAACACUCAUGGAAUCCAAUAAACUGGACACAAUACGCUACCUGGCAGCUUCAGUGUUCACUUGCUUAGCAAUAGCACUGGGGUUUUACAGGUUCUGGAAAUAGAUCUGAAUGGAGGGACUGCAUCAAACAGUGAUGGAGAAGCAGCCACCCAGGCAACGUCAGCUCAAUGAUCAUGUUUACGCUGUAGAUAACCUUGCAUCUGUAAUCCCAGAGGUCAGCAGACCAGAACUUCUAUCUUUGCUUUUCCAAGUGGAAAUGCCUCUACUUUCAGCAGCUGUGUACAGUCCUGAGGCAGAUAAGUGCUUUUAACUCCUCUCCUAAGUAGUGUAGAGCAUUCCAAACAACCGUCAUGUAUUUUCUGGGUAUAGGAUCUGGCUUGUAACAGGGCAAUACUUAGCAUCUCAGUGGUGCUCGUGUGGUGGUGGUCAUCCUUUUGCCAUCUCCAUGCUUCUCCAGAGUCUCCUGUAAUCCUGUGGGACACACUGACACUCCUGACUUCUGGUGAUGGCCCUCUGCCUUCUGCAAGGACUUCACAACUGUUGUUGCAGAGAUGGGACACAGCAGGUGGACACUUUCCAAAACUGAAGCAGUCAUGUCUUGUUGAGUACAAAUGCAUAUCCUUGGUUUGAUUCUUAUAAUAAAAUAAUAACUUCAAAAAAUCA